ACGCACACUGGCGGCGUGCUUCACCCCUGCAAGUCGCACGGAAAGGCCCUGCUUUUGUGGGGUGCUCGAGUGGCGAACGGGUGAGUAACACGUGAGUAACCUGCCCUUGACUUUGGGAUAACUUCAGGAAACUGGGGCUAAUACCGGAUAGGAGCUCCUGCUGCAUGGUGGGGGUUGGAAAGUUUCGGCGGUUGGGGAUGGACUCGCGGCUUAUCAGCUUGUUGGUGGGGUAGUGGCUUACCAAGGCUUUGACGGGUAGCCGGCCUGAGAGGGUGACCGGCCACAUUGGGACUGAGAUACGGCCCAGACUCCUACGGGAGGCAGCAGUGGGGAAUAUUGCACAAUGGGCGGAAGCCUGAUGCAGCAACGCCGCGUGCGGGAUGACGGCCUUCGGGUUGUAAACCGCUUUCGCCUGUGACGAAGCGUGAGUGACGGUAAUGGGUAAAGAAGCACCGGCUAACUACGUG
rnacentral:rRNA from 1 species